CCCAGUUACCCUUGGAAUUAGAUCAGGAGUAGGGAACCCAAGGCCAGAUGCGGCCCCUGGUUUUCCUGGAUCCAGCCUGCAAGGCUAAGGGCUCUACCCCAGCACUGGGGAGCCCACACUGGUGCUCCAGUCCUCCCCAUUGCCUCCCCGAGGGGCUGGAGCAGGCAAAAUCUACUAGUCUGGGCCCCACAAAGACUCUGGUGUGAGGAGUGUGAGGAGUGCCUUUCUCCUUCUCAGUCACAGGCCAGGGAAAGCCUCACUGUGGAUUUUGAAGGAUUGACACUUCCCAGAACCUAGGCUGGAACUGAUGGUGACCUCUGUAGCACCACCUCAAAAGUGAUAUAUCCAGGAAUGCACCUAAAAGACUGGAUUGGCAAGCAAUGGAACUACUGCCAGCAGUGCAUUGAGGAUGGAUGUUACAAGAUAGCUUUUUGAGGUACCCAGGAAUAUGGGAGUCUUGUGUGUGUGCCUCCAGUUAACAGAUAAUUAUAAAGGUGAUCAACUAGCUACCCUCUUCCUCAUGUUGCCACAAGCUACUCUACAUGCAAGUGAAGGGCUCCUUCUAUCUGAUAAAUUGAUACACAGGCCAGUUUUUGAACUGCAUGGGAACAAAGUGGAAGCACCGAAGUGAGUCCUCACUGAGAUAAUGAAAGUUUCUGCCAUUUGACUCUUCAUAUGUGGGUUAGUGAAAAUAAACAGCAUAUGUUGAU